AUAAAACCCCAGAUGAUUAAACCUGCAGGAUUAGCUAAGAAAUUACACAAAACAUGUACAGUGUGAGAGAAGAUGGGGGCCAGAUCAGAGCUGUGGGAACACCAAUGUGAAAAGCCAUUUGUAGGUCUCAGGCUUGUGUCCCCUGUUCCACGAUUGUCCUAUCUAUAAGUUUUCCUUAGCUCAGAUCACUUUGUUCUACUUUUGUUAGUGUAUUUUGAAAAGAAGCACAUUAUCACAACAAGAAAUGAAAAAGUAGUAUCACUUGCCAUAAAUAGAAAUCCUAAAAACAGUUACCAAUAAAAACAUAGAAACAAAAAUCUGUUUGUGCAUUCUGGAUGGUUCAGAAGAAAACUCUAAUUUUUAGCCCUUCUCUUUCAGAAAAGGAAGAUUAGCAAGCCCGGGAGAGGUGCUAAUGCUACACUUACUAAACUGGGUUGUUCUCUUUGUUUAAGUUAGAAACAUCGGAAGAGAAGAGAGAAUCAACUUUUAUACUACAUAGCUCGCAUUCUAAUUUGGUGCUGGCAGCGCUCAGAUCUAGAACACUGCAUCCUAUUUUAUGCGGUGUUCACACUCUGCUUGUGAUCUUGUACCAUCUAAAACUGUCCCCCCUGCCACCAUUGCUGUGAAUCCUGCACACUGAGAAAACCAAGAGUGAUGGAAUCAUGGCGUCUACGCAGGUCCAGGAAAGGAGCGGUCAGUUCAGGAGGCUCAGGAAGGCCAGGAAAUCCAGGGUCAAAAUGCAUUCCUUGAAUCUGGCCACCAAGGACAUGAACGCUGUGGGAAUCUAAGUUGCUCCUAUCUUACCCCUGUACCUGAGCUGCUUUAGAAACCAGCACACCAAAUAUGAUGGAAGUAUAUAGGUCAGCCACAGAGACCCAACAUUGAUUUCCAGAAGUUAAACACACAGGAUUCUUCUGACUUGAGAUAUGUUUUGUGCAGUUCUCCCACACUGUAAGGUAAGAUGAUUUUAAAGCAAUGCUCUUCCAUGCUUUGCUUUGCUCUUUCAUAAUGCACAAGCUUACCUCUGUGCC
rnacentral:lncRNA from 1 species